rnacentral:rRNA from 1 species
AUUGAACGCUGGCGGCAGGCCUAACACAUGCAAGUCGAACGGCAGCACAGAAGAGCUUGCUCUUUGGGUGGCGAGUGGCGGACGGGUGAGUAAUGUCUGGGAAACUGCCCGAUGGAGGGGGAUAACUACUGGAAACGGUAGCUAAUACCGCAUAACGUCGCGAGACCAAAGUGGGGGACCUUCGGGCCUCACACCAUCGGAUGUGCCCAGAUGGGAUUAGCUAGUAGGUGGGGUAAUGGCUCACCUAGGCGACGAUCCCUAGCUGGUCUGAGAGGGUGACCAGCCACACGUGAACUGGGCCACGGUCCAGACUCCUACGGGAGGGAGCAGUGGGGAAGAUUGCACAAUGGGCGCAAGCCUGAUGCAGCCAUGCCGCGUGUAUGAAGAAGGCCUUCGGGUUGUAAAGUACUUUCAGCGGGGAGGAAGGCGGUGAGGUUAAUAACCUUGCCGAUUGACGUUACCCGCAGAAGAAGCACCGGCUAACUCCGUGCCAGCCGCCGCUGUAA